CUGAGCUUCAGCUGUUAUGUCAGUUCUUUGAUAUACGCAUGUGGCGCCCUUCGUGGCUAAAUGAAAUGAAAUCAUUAGUAAAACAUAAUCAAUAUUCAUAAUAUUCACUUUUAUUGUCUUGCCUGCUGAAGAGGCGUUAGAAAUUUAUGCUUUUUUUAACUAUACUAAGAAGUUUUGAGUUGAUUUUGUUUUCAAUAUUGAAAAAUUCUGAAGGUAUGGACUUUAAUAUUAUUAAUUAUUUACUGCAAGAAAUUCACAAAUUCAUUGCUAUGUAGUUGGUUGCCACAAUUCAUAUUACAAUAAGAAAAAGUAGCUCGAGAAAGAAGGAAAGAUAUGGAUUAUUAGUGUGAGAAGAGUUUGAUAAGAAUAUUUGAGAAAUGAUAGCAAAUGUCUCUCAUCUAAAAUUUAUUGUAGUGCUGAUCAUACUUUGAGAGAAAUGGCAACCUGAAGUAUUCCAUAAAAUAUGCAGUGCUCAUUUUGUGUGAAACGUGAGGAAUAAUGGUCAUGAGAGAACUUCAUUUAACCCAAAGAUUUGUAGAGAAGUAUAAAAAACGGAUACCUAAUUCCUCUACAAAAAUGAAGAGAUAUAAAAGAAAAAUGGUCUGAUCUAGUAGAAAGUAUAUUUCCAAGGAGGAAUCACUUUUAAAAUCUCCAUUCGUUUUAUGAAGACAAAAAUGUUUCAAUGGAAGUUUAAGGAGGAAAAAAGGAAUUUUCAUGUCAAAUUGAUCCAAGUGAUUUGGAAGAUGAUAUCUUUUUAUUUUCAUCAGUAAUUUAAUGGACUAUGGUGCCAAGGGAAUGUGUGAUGGGAUAACUUACUGCCAUAGGAUAAAUAAAUGAUAUGUAAAAUCAAUGCAGUAUUUGAUAAUAAUAAUAAUUUAUUUGCACACAAGAAAUCCAUGAAAAGAUACGCCAUCAAAAGUUUACAUGGCUUGUCAAUCAAAAAAUCUUAAACUAUAAAUGAAUAGUAUUAACAGUCAUUGUAAUGAAAAAAUAAAUAUGUUUGUAGUUACAAAUUAUCAAAUAAUAUUUACAAAAAUGAUUCCUAAAUAAAUCACUCAACCUGUA